UUUAUUAGAUGCAACUGUCUGUGUGUUCAAUGCUGCAAAUCUCAGGCUACGAUGUCGUAUUAAUCCUACUGCUUACCUUCCUGCCAGUGUCAGCAAUUCUAAUGUACACCCCCUUGUGAUUGCGGCACAUCCACAAGAGCCAAAUCAGUUUGCAUUGGGAUUAUCUGAUGGUGGAGUGUGUGUUUUUGAGCCCCUUGAAUCCGAAGGCAAAUGGGGUGUGCCACCACCUGUUGAGAAUGGAUCAGCUAGUAGUGUGCCAGCUACACCUUCAGUUGGACCUUCAGGUUCAGAUCAACCCCAAAGAUGAUCAAACGGCUGCCAGAGCACAAGUUCUUUUACAUGCUUGGCUUACUGGCACUCUAAAUUUAGAUUUUCAGGAUAUGUAAUUUACUCAAGGAUUGAAAUCUGUUGAUGUAGAUCUAACUUAUUGGGGUAAGGUUCUGCUUGAGGUAAAUGCUGUAGAAGAAUUAAUAGUGAAAUAUUUUUUCUUUUUAAAAAGAAAUUUCUUUGAGGAAGUCUUUCUUCUCUCUUCUUUGUUAACAUUUUGCUUCAAUUAUUGAAUAGUAAUGCUUUUUUAUGCAUCGAACGGAGUCAUGUCUGAAAUGUACAUUACUUGGAUUUCCUUUCAGUCCUCUCCUCUUUUUAUGAACUGCCACCAGUUGAUAGCAAAAUUCAAUUUCAAGGGGCAUCCAGAUAUGGUAUCAACUCUCUGUUUUUGGAAUUGUAAUUAUACGUUCUAUGAACAACUCCACUUUUUCUC